rnacentral:lncRNA from 1 species
CAUAUAAUUCAUCCCCUUGACUAAAAUGAUCAUAGGACACCCCAGAGUUCAACUGUCAACUCUGAUCAGAUUGUCCACAUUGUAUUUCAAAAUAUCAAAUCCAUCUGAUGGAUUACCCUGGCCAAGGUUUUGCUAAAUUAAAAUACAGUGACUCAUUCUUCUCCAACUCUUAGAGUGGUCAAUCCCAUCUCGAUCACACUCUGACUUCGCAAGUACUUGACUGUGCCCAGAAGCCUUCCAUCUCUGAAUUAGAAAUUCAGUUAGUCCAG